CACAGUCCUGUCCUAUGUCAGCCUCCUGCUGAGAAAAUGCCUGCCUUAAUUUGCUCAGCUAAUCACAGUCCUGAUCUGACUGGCAUGUCCUUCACCCUGGAAAUGUUCUCUUGGUCUCUCCAUUUCUGGAUAUUGCCUUUGUAGAGCUGUGUUGCCAGUUGGAGACCACUGCAGCUGCUCAGAGGAUUGGAAAAUGGUUCAUAAGCUGGAGAUUAUUGCUAUGCCAUGAGGGGCUGCAGAAGGGAGCCUAACAUGGAGGCUCUGCAUCUCAGCUUGAUGGUCCAGCUCUGGCAAGGCAGUGGAGUGGGCUGAUGAUCAUCUGUUUGCCUUGUCCUCUAUUCUAUAGGCAACAAGAGCCUGAAGUAGAAGUGUUAAAAGCUGCUGCAGAUGAGUGAAGGAUUACUGAAUCCAGGUGCCAGAAUGAUAGAGCAACCCUCCAGUGCAGAGAGGCAGAGUUCAGGGAAUUGCUGAAGGAAAAAAAAAAAACAAACAGGAAGGACAGUGGAAACUGUCAUCUGCAAAAUGCCAGAGUAUCUAGUGGCUGCCCUGCAGGGUUGGACCUAUUUUCUUUGAAAUUCUACCUCCUGCCCACCUGCUCUCUUCACAUUCCCUGGGCCUGUGCAGGGAGUGCUGCUGGAUGCUGUUUUAUGGAAGAGCCUGACUGGUCCUGACAACUAUUGCUGCUGCUGAUGGGCAGCUGUUUGAGCUCUGAUUUAAUCUAGUCUUAACACUCUUAUUGGAAUGUUUCAUUUCUCUGUGUCUGUUUUUUGUUGGAAGUAACUACUUUGUUAAAUUGAAUGUCUGCGAUUAGGAAGUUGAAUAAUUAAUUUUUUUCCCAGUCCCUGUUUUGCUGUAGCAGACAUUUUCUAGUGAAAGUUAGGUCAAAUAUUCAGUAUGUAAAUAUACAUAAAGAUUAGAGACAUUAGAAAGGGACUGUAUUAAAUCUGUGUGUUUUAAAACAAAAUUUAUUUGAACAAAAGCAAUAGUAA